AAAAAUGUAAAUAAAUUUAUUAGAGUAGUUAAUAGUUAUGGUCUUGAAACUCAAAAAAUUUGGCGGUAUUUUAGUCUAUUCAGAGGAACCUGUGGUAUAAUCGAUAAUCCACGAUGAAUCUUACUUAAUUUUGUUUUUCAAUUUGUAUACCGCCGUUAUUUAAAAAUUUUUUUAGAAUAAUAAUUUUUAAGAUUUCAUAUUAGAAAAAAAGUCAGGUCAAGGUGCAGUUUAUAAUUAAGGAUCUUAUGGGUUACAAUAAAUAAAUAUUUAAAUGAAUUAAAUAAUGAAAUAGAUUUAUGAAAGUGGAUUUGAUAGUAAAUUUUUAAAGAUAAAAAAAUUGAUU
rnacentral:rRNA from 1 species